UACGGAGGGUGCGAGCGUUGUCCGGAAUCACUGGGCGUAAAGGGCGCGUAGGCGGCCUGAUAAGUAGGGGGUGAAAUCCUGCGGCUUAACCGCAGGGCUGCCUUCUAGACUGUCAGGCUAGAGCACAGUAGAGGCAGGUGGAAUUCCCGGUGUAGCGGUGGAAUGCGUAGAUAUCGAGAGGAACACCUGCGGCGAAGGCGGGUUGCUGGGCUGAUACUGACGCUGAGGCGCGAAAGCCAGGGGAGCGAACGGG
rnacentral:rRNA from 1 species